UUGGUUAAUAAAAUAAAUAAAGAAAAAGUUUUCAUUUUCUCUUUCAUUUUUUCUCUUCUCCUCCACCGAAAUAUGCAGCAAAGAAAGGGUUUUGAAGCUGGAAAAUUUCAGCAACAUAUUUCCCUUGCUUAUUGUUGACUCCAGUUACCUGCUCGGGUUGGAGUUCGUCGGAGAUAUUAUCACACUGUCGAGCUAACACUAUGGGUGUAGUGAUUUCAAAUACUUUGAGUCUAUGGCAUGUAUAGGUGUGUAAAUAUUAGAGUAUGUGAUCUGGCUUUAACCAUAUGUGUUGGCCUAUUUUGAUUAUAGGGUUGUAAAUCCAUUUUAAUUAUGCAUGAAUGUGCUAUGGUAUUACGUGAUGAGUUUAUAAUGAUUAAAGCAUGAAUUUUCCAA